rnacentral:rRNA from 1 species
AGUGAACGCUGGCGGCAGGCCUAAUACAUGCAAGUCGAACGGCAGCACAGUGGAGCUUGCUCCAUGGGUGGCGAGUGGCGGACGGGUGAGGAAUACAUGGGAAUCUGCCCAGUCGUGGGGGAUAACGUAGGGAAACUUACGCUAAUACCGCAUGCGCCCUUCGGGGGAAAGCCGGGGACCUUCGGGCCUGGCGCGAUUGGAUGAGCCCAUGUUCGAUUAGCUAGUUGGCGGGGUAAAGGCCCACCAAGGCGACGAGCGAUAGCUGGUCUGAGAGGAUGAUCAGCCACACUGGGACUGAGACACGGCCCAGACUCCUACGGGAGGCAGCAGUAGGGAAUAUUGGACAAUGGGCGCAAGCCUGAUCCAGCCAUGCCGCGUGAGUGAAGAAGGCCCUCGGGUUGUAAAGCUCUUUUGUCCGGGAAGAAAAGCAUCGGGCUAAUACCUCGGUGUUCUGACGGUACCGGAAGAAUAAGCACCGGCUAACUUCGUG